rnacentral:rRNA from 1 species
AUACGGAGGGGGUUAGCGUUGUUCGGAAUUACAGGGCGUAAAGCGCGCGUAGGCGGAUUGGUAAGUUAGAGGUGAAAUCCCGGGGCUCAACCCCGGAACUGCCUUUGAUACUGCCAGUCUUGAGUUCGAGAGAGGUGAGUGGAAUUCCGAGUGUAGAGGUGAAAUUCGUAGAUAUUCGGAGGAACACCAGUGGAGAAGGCGGCUCACUGGCUCGAUACUGACGCUGAGGUGCGAAAGCGUGGGGAGCAAACAGGAUUAGAAACCCCAGUAGUCC